rnacentral:lncRNA from 1 species
AUUGAGCAUGCAGAGGUUGGCAACAUGGGGAGAGGAAGGCACAGUUGCUGGAAAUGGAGAAAACUAUAGUUUUGCAACAGCUGAGGGGAGGAUCACCCUGCAGAUGUGUCUUUUGUUAGAGGAAUACAACUACUAUCAACUCAUGGCCUUACAAGGAAGGAGCCAGGAGAAUACUUACCAGAUUUCUCUCUCCUCCCAGUCUCUACUCCAGCUAGUGUCUCUCCUUGGUCAAACUCAGUCAGCUCCCCUGGGAUGGUGCAAUCCACAGAGCUUCCUGGAGAAAACCUGCUCAUCUAUCAAGGCUCAGUUCAAGAAUCACCCCUCUGAAGACUUUCAUGCUGCUCAGUUGGAGAAAUCUUGUCAUUUCCUUUAUUGCACUUACUGUUUGGCGACUUGGGCAGGAUAAAAUUUCACUGGCUGGGCACUGCUUGCUCCUGGACUGCUGCAGCCAAGAGAUCCCAGACCCCUGAAGAGAGUCAGCAAGAGUUUGAGCCUCUUGUGCUGCCAUCCACUGAAUUCCCAUAAAUGGAACUGAACCAUAUUGGUACUGCCAUCAAGGACUGGCAUGGACGACCUGGAAAAUGCAAGUGGUUGAUGGGUUUUCAAUGGAUCCCAUUGCUAGGUGCUCUAAGAGGGCUCAAGGCUGCUCCUUUUCCAUUUUACCACUUUCAGGCAGUAUCACUCCCAACCAAGAAGAUCCUUUCCAGCACCACUGUGCAAAUGGAACUCUAAACACCUCUCUCCAGCCACAUAGAAACAUCCUGUAAACUCUAAGACAGCAUGGUUAGGCUCAAAGCUGUUCUGUUGGACUAUUGUGCUAAAUAAGACUGCUGCUAAUGGCCACCCACAAACAUGGCGACCAUAUAUAUAUUAGGACUAGUGCAGUGCUAAAGACAUUAACACAGAUUUCCUCAAUUACAUCUGAGCAGUCAAACAUAUGGGGUGUUCCUCUCACAGAGUCACACUAUUCACUGAAGAAAGCUGUAAGCCCUUGGGAAUAUCAAAGCAUCCUGGAUUGAAGAAAUAUCCAGGAAUUGGGCAGAGACAAGAAAAUGGGCUCACAGUGGUUAAGUAACUUGCCCAGGAUCAGAUGACUGACCAUAUCUGGUUCCACGUCUCUCUGGGUGGUGCCCAUUCAGUAAUGGCUGUGGUCUCCUGGAACAGCUCAGAGGCAAAAACUCUCUGACGUCAACUUUAGGAAUUUUAUAUUCUUGUUGUUCAAAGUGUGAUUCAUGGACCAGCAGCCUCACGUCUCCUGGGAGAAAUAUGCAGGUCCAGAGUGGUGAGAAUACCAACUGUGCCUGAAAUCUGUGUGAACAAGGGUGAACUUUUUUCAGAAGUGACCGUCAACUGAAUUCACCGGAGUUGGUGGCCAACCACGUAACAGAAGUCUCCAAAUUCACUUCCAUGUAAAAUACAAUGUUUAUUAAAGGACAAGUGACAAAUAUUUGCUAAGUUGCAGCUUAGAUGUAUAUUAUUCAAAACAACUGUAACCUGAGCAAUUAUUUGAAACAUAGACUGCCAAAAAAAUUGUUUUCAGGAAAGAGUGUUUUACCUCUGGCAUUGUUUAGAAUCGCUGGCACUUAGUGAUCAUAAAGGCAGACAGACUUUCAGUUAGUUUUAUUACUGUUUUUCAAUUCCCUACAGACAAUGGACCCCCUUGAAGCUUACACGGGGGGCUUCCCCAGCUGGCCCUCAGUAUACCACUGUUUGCAAAUAUUCAUUCCUUUGAGCACAUUUUAUGUCCACUGUUAGAAAUAAAAUAAAGAUGAUUGAGGAAUGAAAUGAAUCCUUAGGGACAAGCCGGCUCUGCUGAGAAACAGUGUGACCUCGUGGGAAACCAAGUUCCUUCAAACAGGGGAAGUCUGAAGCCACCAAGAGAAAUGACCUCACCAUGGUGACAAAGGGUUAUACCUCAUCUUACAUUUUCUGGCUCAGAGUUCAGAAGACCUCUCUGUGAAAGGGAAGAGCUCCUCUGCUUUGCAAAUCUACUCUCUCUUACCAAAGGAAAAAUCCUUUCUACAAUUGCUGUAUCACCCAUCAAAAAGCCAUUCAACCGAAAAGCAGGGAAUAGCAUCAUUGUGGCCAUUUGGAUGAAGUCUGGCUGCCUGUUAACUUCUGUUUCCAGAGAGUAGCUUUGCUGAUCUCCACACUCUUAACCUGUGAAGCACAAAAUCAAGGCCAAAUGGCCAGUAAAGACAAUAACCAUUUGAAAGAGUGCUGCCUUAUUUCUGCAAUUUUGACUUGAAUGCCUCUUCUAGAGAAAGCGUAGUAUUUUUCCUUUGAUGUUGCAGUGUGGAUAACGGGUCUGUGGUUUUCACUCUUUAAUAAACUCUGGGACACCAAGAGCUUACAUUAUAUUGAAAAGAGCGGAUUUCUUUUCAUCUGAGAUGCUUAAAGCAAUGUUAUUAAUAAUACUGUGUAUAACAGCUGCCUUUAUUUAUUCAUAAAUACAGCACAAACAUCUUACUUGUCAAAAGGAGAGGAUUUUCUUUUACUAUAAAAAGAUAAUUAAUUCAGGCUGGAUAAACUUGAUGGUGCAUUUGCCAUCUGGGCAAAGCUAACAAAACACCAGAAUAGAAUUGUGUGAAGAAAAAGUAAUCAAAAUAUGGAAUAAAAAUACAUGCUUAAACUCUGUUUUGAUUUCUUUAACAACAAAUAAUUUUCCACCACAAGUAUUAUACUCAGG